UCCUACGGGAGGCAGCAGUGGGGAAUAUUGGACAAUGGGGGCAACCCUGAUCCAGCAAUGCCGCGUGUGUGAAGAAGGCCUGCGGGCUGUAAGGCACUUUCAGUAGAGAGGAAAAGCUCCCGGUUAAUACCCGGGGGUCUUGACGUAACCUACAGAAGAAGCACCGGCUAACUCCGUGCCAGCAGCCGCGGUAAUACGGAGGGUGCGAGCGUUAAUCGGAAUUACUGGGCGUAAAGCGCGCGUAGGCGGCUAGGUCAGUCGAAUGUGAAAGCCCCGGGCUUAACCUGGGAAUUGCACUCGAUACUGCCUGGCUAGAGUAUGGGAGAGGGAAGUGGAAUUUCCGGUGUAGCGGUGAAAUGCGUAGAUAUCGGAAGGAACACCAGUGGCGAAGGCGACUUCCUGGCCCAAUACUGACGCUGAGGUGCGAAAGCGUGGGUAGCGAACAGGAUUAGAUACCCUGGUAGUCCACGCCGUAAACGAUGAGAACUAGAUGUUGGGAGGGUUUGCCUCUCGGUGUCGCAGCUAACGCGUUAAGUUCUCCGCCUGGGGAGUACGCCGGCAACGGUAAAACUCAAAGGAAUUGACGGGGACCCGCACAAGCGGUGGAGCAUGUGGUUUAAUUCGAUGCAACGCGAAGAACCUUACCUGCCCUUGACAUCCUCGGAACUUACCAGAGAUGGUUUGGUGCCUUCGGGAACCGAGUGACAGGUGCUGCAUGGCUGUCGUCAGCUCGUGUCGUGAGAUGUUGGGUUAAGUCCCGCACGAGCGCAACCCUUGUCCCUAGUUGCCAGCAUUUAGUUGGGCACUCUAGGGAGACCGCCGUUGAAAAACCGGAAGGAAGGGUGGGG
rnacentral:rRNA from 1 species